rnacentral:rRNA from 1 species
GAGAGCGACCGGUGCUUGCACUGGUCAAUCUAGUGGCGAACGGGUGAGUAACACGUGGGUAACCUGCCCAUCAGAGGGGGAUAACAUUCGGAAACGGAUGCUAAAACCGCAUAGGUCUUCGAACCGCAUGGUUUGAAGAGGAAAAGAGGCGCAAGCUUCUGCUGAUGGAUGGACCCGCGGUGCAUUAGCUAGUUGGUGAGGUAACGGCUCACCAAGGCCGUGAUGCAUAGCCGACCUGAGAGGGUGAUCGGCCACAUUGGGACUGAGACACGGCCCAAACUCCUACGGGAGGCAGCAGUUGGGAAUCUUCCGCAAUGGACGCAAGUCUGACGGAGCAACGCCGCGCGAGUCAAGAAGGUUUUCGGAUCGUAAAACUCUGUUGUUAGAGAAGAACAAGUGCUAGAGUCACUGUUAGCGCCUUGACGGUAUCUAACCAGAAAGCCACGGCUAACUACGUGCCAGCAGCCGCGGUAAUACGUAGGUGGCAAGCGUUGUCCGGAUUUAUUGGGCGUAAAGCGAGCGCAGGCGGUUCCUUAAGUCUGAUGUGAAACCCCCCGCCUCAACCGGGGAGGGUCAUUGGAAACUGGGGAACUUGAGUGCAGAAGAGGAGAGUGGAAUUCCAUGUGUAGCGGUGAAAUGCGUAGAUAUAUGGAGGAACACCAGUGGCGAAGGCGACUCUCUGGUCUGUAACUGACGCUGAGGCUCGAAAGCGUGGGUAGCAAACAGGAUUAGAUACCCUGGUAGUCCACGCCGUAAACGAUGAGUGCUAAGUGUUGGAGGGUUUCCGCCCUUCAGUGCUGCAGUUAACG